GCCUACGGGUGGCAGCAGUGGGGAAUAUUGGACAAUGGGGGCAACCCUGAUCCAGCCAUGCCGCGUGAGUGAUGAAGGCCUUAGGGUUGUAAAGCUCUUUCGGCGGGGACGAUAAUGACGGUACCCGCAGAAGAAGCCCCGGCUAACUUCGUGCCAGCAGCCGCGGUAAUACGAAGGGGGCUAGCGUUGCUCGGAAUCACUGGGCGUCAAGCGCACGUAGGCGGAUUUUUAAGUCAGGGGUGAAAUCCCAAGGCUCAACCUUUGAACUGCCUUUGAUACUGGGGAUCUCGAGUCCGGAAGAGGUUGGUGGAACUCCGAGUGUAGAGGUGAAAUUCGUAGAUAUUCGGAAGAACACCAGUGGCGAAGGCGGCCAACUGGUCCGGUACUGACGCUGAGGUGCGAAAGCGUGGGGAGCAAACAGGAUUAGAUACCCUAGUAGUCGUU
rnacentral:rRNA from 2 species